GUAUAACUAAUUUCUAGUUUGCUGUUACUUUUUAGCAUUCAUAAUUGCUUUUCUCUUACAAAUACUUGCAGUUCAAGAUGAGCUUCCUAUUGUUGGAUUCAAUUUCUUGUUACAGGAGCAAAAUUGGACAUCAAAAUUCAAUAAUAAGCAUUGAAAAAAAAAAAAAACAUGAGGAAGACGACGAAGGCGAACCUGAGGAUAAGGAACACGAUGACUUAUUGAAUCAGGAGGAGGAUGAGAACCAAAAUGACAUUUUGAAUCAUGAAAGAACAAAAAGGAAGAGGAAGAGGAAAAGCAAAAGGAGCAAAAUUGGACAUCAAAAUUCAUUUAUAAGCACUGAAAAAAGAAAAAAAAAACAUUAGGAAGAUGAUGAAGACAAACCUGAGGAUAAGGAACAUGAUGACUUGUUGAAUCGGGAGGAGGAUGAGAACCAAAAUGACAUUUUGAAUCGUGAGAGAAGGAAAAGAAAGAGGAAGAAGAAAAUGAAAAGGUAAUUCUAUUUCUUAUUUGCUGCUGUAGCAUCCUUAAUUUCAAUAUUCUCCCUCAGCACACUUGCUUCUUAACUGCUCUAAGGUUAGACAUUACACAAUCUACAGCAUUUAGAACUAUUCUUUUUUUAUUUUUUUGGGUUAUAAAAAAAAAACCAGGUGGAUUCACUCAAAUGUCUUCAGUAUGUAAUGGUAAUCAAUUGCCAAUAGAUGCCUUGUGCCCUGAAAAGUCGGACAAUGUUCUUUCUCAAUCUACAAUAAAUUUUCAUAGAAGCAGUGCAUGCAUUUUGGCCUUCCUGAAGAAUUAGGCUCUGUGAAAUUUCCAAAUUAGUAGUGGCCAUUUUCCCUUUUUUCUCUUUUCCAAUCAUGUUGUUAAUAUGCAUUUUAUUUGAAAGAUGAGAUUCCUACGGUUGGAUUCAAUUUCCUGUUAAAUUGGACAUCAUAAUUCAUUAAUAAGCAUUGAAAAAAAAAAACAUGAGGUAGACAGCGAAGGCGAACAUGUGGAUAAGGAACACGAUGACUUAUUGAAUCUAGAGGAGGAUGAGAACCAAAAUGACAUCUUGAAUCAUGGGAGAAGGAAAAGGAAGAGAAAGAGGAAAGGGAAAAGGAGGAUGCAAAUUCAAUCUUGAAUCAAAGUUCAGUAAUAAGCAUUGAAAACUUUGGUGCUCUCAUUCUGGAGAAAGAACUCUAUCUAACACUGGGAUCUAGUGCAUUUUUUGGCUGCACCAGAAAAUGGCUUGUUGGGUUGUUUGAACCUUGAAAGGUCUGUUUUGUUGAGACCAUUUAGGUUGACACCUUAGCAGUGUUUGUAUGGUAAUUGUUUAGUACAGGUUGGGUGCAUGAUGUGUGACAUGUUGAUGACGGGUAGCACCAUCUUCUGGUUUUUCCCCCUAAACAUCUCUUUUUUUUUUUAAUAAUAUUUUCUGACUAUGCUUGUUUGGA